AUUGAACGCUGGCGGCAGGCCUAACACAUGCAAGUCAAGCGGAUGAAGGGAGCUUGCUCCUGGAUUCAGCGGCGGACGGGUGAGUAAUGCCUAGGAAUCUGCCUGGUAGUGGGGGAUAACGUCCGGAAACGGGCGCUAAUACCGCAUACGUCCUGAGGGAGAAAGUGGGGGAUCUUCGGACCUCACGCUAUCUGAUGAGCCUAGGUCGGAUUAGCUAGUUGGUGGGGUAAAGGCCUACCAAGGCGACGAUCCGUAACUGGUCUGAGAGGAUGAUCAGUCACACUGGAACUGAGACACGGUCCAGACUCCUACGGGAGGCAGCAGUGGGGAAUAUUGGACAAUGGGCGAAAGCCUGAUCCAGCCAUGCCGCGUGUGUGAAGAAGGUCUUCGGAUUGUAAAGCACUUUAAGUUGGGAGGAAGGGCAGUAAGUUAAUACCUUGCUGUUUUGACGUUACCAACAGAAUAAGCACCGGCUAACUUCGUG
rnacentral:rRNA from 1 species